rnacentral:rRNA from 1 species
AGUGAACGCUGGCGGUAGGCCUAACACAUGCAAGUCGAACGGCAGCACAGUAAGAGCUUGCUCUUACGGGUGGCGAGUGGCGGACGGGUGAGGAAUACAUCGGAAUCUACUUUUUCGUGGGGGAUAACGCAGGGAAACUUACGCUAAUACCGCAUACGACCUACGGGUGAAAGCAGGGGAUCUUCGGACCUUGCGCGAUUGAAUGAGCCGAUGUCGGAUUAGCUAGUUGGCGGGGUAAAGGCCCACCAAGGCGACGAUCCGUAGCUGGUCUGAGAGGAUGAUCGGCCACACUGGAACUGAGACACGGUCCAGACUCCUACGGGAGGCAGCAGUGGGGAAUAUUGGACAAUGGGCGCAAGCCUGAUCCAGCCAUACCGCGUGGGUGAAGAAGGCCUUCGGGUUGUAAAGCCCUUUUGUUGGGAAAGAAAAGCAGCAGGUUAAUACCCCGCUGUUCUGACGGUACCCAAAGAAUAAGCACCGGCUAACUUCGUG